rnacentral:rRNA from 1 species
UACGUAGGGGGCAAGCGUUGUCCGGAUUUAUUGGGCGUAAAGAGCGUGUAGGCGGCUUGGUAGGUCCGCUGUGAAAACUCGAGGCUCAACCUCGAGAUGUCGGCGGAAACCACUUGGCUAGAGUCCGGAAGAGGAGAGUGGAAUUCCCGGUGUAGCGGUGAAAUGCGCAGAUAUCAGGAAGAACACCCGUGGCGAAAGCGGCUCUCUGGAACGGUACUGACGCUGAGACGCGAAAGCGUGGGGAGCGAACAGG